rnacentral:lncRNA from 1 species
UACCAAAAAUGUUUUCUUUUUUUAAGUUUAAUUUUUCAUUUUUUUAAANGUGAUAAGCAGUGUCAGAAGGAGUUUUAUAAAUAUGAGCAAAAGAAAGAGAAAGAAUGAACCCUGACCAGAAGCAUUUCCCUCACCCAAGCACAUUGCAAAUUAUAUCAUCCCUGUUACUGUACUUUCAAGAUUUUGGAGAGUGAAAGAAUCUACACCUCAACACUUCUGGGUAGGACCAUAGAAAUAUACCCAUUGCACUUUCAGUGGCAGGAGAAUAUCAUGGAUGUGUCAGAUGUGAAAAUAGCAAAGGUGAUCCUAUUUGAAUCCUACAGAGCUAACCGUAAUUUAUAUUUUAAGUUGAAAUACAGUAUUGCAUUUUAUGACAGCAUGGAAGAUACUUUCCUAACACAAUGCUCUCUGGAUGUUCUGGAAUAAGUUGAUGGGCAGUGUAGUCCAAAAAAUCUGGAGGACACCAAAUGAAGAAAAGAUGGUAUCAAAGAGAACAUUCUGUUUUGGGGGCACUGAUCUGAAUUAAUCUG